UUAAAAGAAAUUAGUGAAUAUUUAUUCAAAACAAACUGCAGGAAACAUACAAAACAUUAGUAGCAUCAAUUAUUUGGAAAGGAAAAGGGCUGGUCUAGGAGACAGCUACCUGCAGAAGAUCUCAGCCCAGAUUUCACACUCUUAUAUAUAUUAAGAAAGACAAUAUUCACUAUAGAAAACAAAGUAACACACAGAAAGACACUGACCAAGUGACCAUGCAUGACAGAAUACAAAUCACAUAAAAUCGAAAAGCUUUAAUUAGAAGAGUCCUAGCUUUCUUGGUUAUAAAGCUCUAAUUGUUGAGUUUAGGGCAAUGCCCUGGUCCGCAGGGGCUAGGACCACUACUGUUGAUAUUCUUCUUUGCAUAACCUUCCACAAUCGAGCCUUUCACAACAACUGCGUCUACGUGUGAUGCCUUGAGAAAGGUACUCUUUGGUUUUUCAUUAGCAUCUUUGUGCAGAACAAAAGUGUCCAGUGGCCGCGGCAUCCCUUGUUGAAUGCACAGCCAAGAGAAAGAGAGAAAAAUAAGAAAGAAGGCAAAGCAUUGGAAUUUUCGAGCCAUGUUAUGUUGAGGUUUGGAGGAAU
rnacentral:lncRNA from 1 species